CGUAACAAGGUUUCCGUAGGUGAACCUGCGGAAGGAUCAUUACCUAGAGUUUGUAGACUUCGGUCUGCUACCUCUUACCCAUGUCUUUUGAGUACCUUCGUUUCCUCGGCGGGUCCGCCCGCCGAUUGGACAACAUUCAAACCCUUUGCAGUUGCAAUCAGCGUCUGAAAAAACAUAAUAGUUACAACUUUCAACAACGGAUCUCUUGGUUCUGGCAUCGAUGAAGAACGCAGCGAAAUGCGAUAAGUAGUGUGAAUUGCAGAAUUCAGUGAAUCAUCGAAUCUUUGAACGCACAUUGCGCCCCUUGGUAUUCCAUGGGGCAUGCCUGUUCGAGCGUCAUUUGUACCUUCAAGCUCUGCUUGGUGUUGGGUGUUUGUCUCGCCCCUGCGUGUAGACUCGCCUUAAAACAAUUGGCAGCCGGCGUAUUGAUUUCGGAGCGCAGUACAUCUCGCGCUUUGCACUCAUAACGACGACGUCCAAAAGUACAUUUUUACACUCUUGACCUCGGAUCAGGUAGGGAUACCCGCUGAACUUAAGC
rnacentral:rRNA from 1 species